GACGAACGCUGGCGGCGUGCUUAACACAUGCAAGUCGAACGAAGUGGCGAACGGGUGAGUAACGCGUAAUCAACCUGCCCUUCAGAGGGGGACAACAGUUGGAAACGACUGCUAAUACCGCAUACUGAAGGAGGGGAUUGCGUCUGAUUAGCUAGUUGGAGGGGUAACGGCCCACCAAGGCGAUGAUCAGUAGCCGGUCUGGGGGGAUGGACGGCCACAUCGGGACUGGGACACUGCCCAUACUCCUUAGGGAAGGCGCAAUGGGGAAUCUUCCGCAAUGGACGGAAGUCUGGCGGAGCAACGCCGCGGGGGUGAUGACUGCCUUCGGGUUGUAAAGCUCUGUUAAUCGGGACGCGGUACCGGAAUAGAAAGCCACGGCUAACUACGUGCCAGCAGCCGCGGUAAUUC
rnacentral:rRNA from 1 species